GUGAAUCAUCGAAUCUUUGAACGCAAAUUGCACUCUCCUCGAAGAGUAUGCCUGUUUGAGGGUCAGCCUAUAAAAAAUCGACAUCGUUGCUGUUUCGCGGUGGCGUUCGUCGGAAAUUGGGUCAUCUUACAUCCUUUUGAUUUAAGCGACUUAAAAUUCUCUUUUUGUUCCCUGACCGUUUCUAUGCUCUAUUUCUUUACACGUUUAAGGUAUCGAUUUUUACUAGACGUGUCCAUCAUAUCUGAUCUCGUCCAUACUCUUUCAUUAACUGACCUCUGA
rnacentral:misc_RNA from 1 species